rnacentral:tRNA from 1 species
GUCGGAGUGGCGGAAUUGGCAGACGCGCUAGCUUGAGGGGCUAGUGCCCAGUAUGGGCGUGGGGGUUCAAGUCCCCCCUCCGACACCA